ensembl:lncRNA
GCUGUUCUUGCUGGCUCCUGCAUAGUGACUGGUAGGAUGCAGUGAUCUGCUGUGCUGAAAGCAAGCGAAGCAUGCAUCACAGUGCAGUGGAAGUCUUGGAGAUCUUCAGUGUCAUAGGCUCCUGAAAAGAGUUAAAGAAUUAUACUGCAGGAAGGGUGUGUCAGACUGCUCAGGAAUGACUCUGCGCGCCCUGGAGGCUGCUGAGGAAGAAGAGCUCUAGCACAUCUUUUGGGAGGAGGUCCUCUACCUUGGGAGCUGAACUGCAACGUAGAUGGAAGAGGCCAGGUACAGUCUUAUUGACCUUUAGGAAAGGAAACAUCUUGUUCAAGUCCAACCACUUUGUUUGUAUGUUCUGCAACUGCACAGCUUGGACAAUACCACCAGUUUAAGUAAGUCAGCACAAUAUUUUUGCAGUAAGGCUCAAAGCUGAGAUGUUCUUGAUGAUCUUUGAAGAACAAUAAUUGGGAAAUCAUUCACUGUCCUAUCAUCUGGAAUAAGAAUAUGUGGGGAGAAUUUCAAUUGGAGUAAGAACAGCACAGUUCCAAAGUGCUCAAGAUUCGCUGACUUGACAUGGUUUGGUUUAGAAGGGAUACUGAUGCAGCUUAAUAUUCUGUAAAAUCUCAAUAGCAUAUAAUAGUCGUAUGUAUCUCUUUUGUGGGUCCAGAAAAGGUUCAAAGAGACAGGCUCUGUAGUUGUUGUAAUGUCAAGGCAAUUACUGUUAUUGUGGAAAUGAUGCUUGAAGCAUGCUAGAGAGAGGUCACAGUCAUCUAUGAACUGUUGUUUUAGUUGAUGGCUAAUUGUAUGUUAUUCUAAUUGACUUUUCUAGAGGCAAUAUAUAUUGUCUGUUCAUUAAAACUUGAGAAUUGGAAAGGCUUCCAAAUGGAUUUGCUUCUCAGAGGUAUCAGAAAAAUGCAGGGAAUUCAACACUUCAAGGAAAAGCACCUACAUUUUGUUAUUGUUGGCCAUCAUUACAGCUUACUGAAGUCCUUCCUUAGAAAUGAAGUGGCUAAACAACCACAGCUGAUCAUUCUGUUGGUAUAUGUCAGACUUUCGACUAUGUUAUGAAGAUGCAUUGAUUUAGGAAAAAUGACAAGAUUAUAGGUACUUUGCUGAUAAGAGUAAAAGGUUUUUGUUUGUUGGUUUUUAAUUAAAAUUACACAAAAUAAACCAUUUUGUGAGCAUGG